CGUAGGUGCAAGCGUUAAUCGGAAUUACUGGGCGUAAAGAGUGCGCAGGCGGUUUGCAAGACCGAUGUGAAAUCCCCGGGCUUAACCUGGGAACUGCAUUGGUGACUGCAAGGCUAGAGUGUGUCAGAGGGAGGUGGAAUUCCGCAUGUAGCAGUGAAAUGCGUAGAUAUGCGGAGGAACACCGAUGGCGAAGGCAGCCUCCUGGGGAUAACACUGACGCUCAUGCACGAAAGCGUGGGAGCAAACAGGAUU
rnacentral:rRNA from 1 species